rnacentral:rRNA from 1 species
AUUGAACGCUGGCGGCAGGCUUAACACAUGCAAGUCGAGCGGGGUGAUGGUGCUUGCACUAUCACUUAGCGGCGGACGGGUGAGUAAUGCUUAGGAAUCUGCCUAUUAGUGGGGGACAACAUCUCGAAAGGGAUGCUAAUACCGCAUACGUCCUACGGGAGAAAGCAGGGGAUCACUUGUGACCUUGCGCUAAUAGAUGAGCCUAAGUCGGAUUAGCUAGUUGGUGGGGUAAAGGCCUACCAAGGCGACGAUCUGUAGCGGGUCUGAGAGGAUGAUCCGCCACACUGGGACUGAGACACGGCCCAGACUCCUACGGGAGGCAGCAGUGGGGGAUAUUGGACAAUGGGGGGAACCCUGAUCCAGCCAUGCCGCGUGUGUGAAGAAGGCCUUAUGGUUGUAAAGCACUUUAAGCGAGGAGGAGGCUCUUUUGGUUAAUACCCAAGAUGAGUGGACGUUACUCACAGAAUAAGCACCGGCUAACUCUGUGCCAGCCGCCGCCGUAA